UAUUUGGUCAUUCACUCUGAGCGUGCAGAAGAUGGUGAGAAAGGAAAAAUUGGUUAUUGCUCUUGCAUGGCUCCUGGUUAUAAUGGCAUCCAUGAUCAUGUUAGCGCAGGCGAUGCAAGGUGCUCGUCUGCAUGCAUUUGAGCAUAUAGUUCAUCCCCAAGGUUGUCGCUGCUGCUGGUUCAUUUGGAAGCCACUAAUCCACUGUGGAAAAGCAUGUUGUGAAGAUGGAUGUUGCCCUUGAUGCAUCAUAGAAGAGUUAUGGUGUUGAUGCUCAUCAAAUAAAAUUAAUAAACUUACGUUGGAACAGCAAUGUUCAGCAUAAAGUUGUAACGUUUCUUUUUUGAAUAAGGAGGUUCUCUGUGAACAGUUAAAGAUUC